rnacentral:rRNA from 1 species
AUACGGAGGGUGCAAGCGUUGUUCGGAUUUAUUGGGCGUAAAGCGAGUGUAGGCGGUUUGGCAAGUCGAAUGUGAAAUCCCGAGGCCCAACCUCGGAACUGCAUCCGAAACUGUCAGGCUAGAGUCCCGGAGAGGGUGGCGGAAUUCCCGGUGUAGGGGUGAAAUCCGUAGAUAUCGAGAGGAACACCAGUGGCGAAGGCGGCCACCUGGACGGUGACUGACGCUGAGACUCGAAAGUGUGGGUAGCAAACAGGAUUAGAAACCCUAGUAGUCC